rnacentral:rRNA from 1 species
GAUUCCUACGGGAGGCAGCAGCUAAGAAUCUUCCGCAAUGGACGCAAGUCUGACGGAGUGACGCCGCGUGAACGAUGAAGGCCGUGAGGUUGUAAAGUUCUUUUCCGGGGGAGGAAUAAGGAUGGCAGGGAAUGGCCGUCUGAUGACGUGAACCUGGGAAUAAGCCCCGGCUAACUACGUGCCAGCAGCCGCGGUAACGCGUAGGGGGCGAGCGUUGUUCGGAAUUAUUGGGCGUAAAGGGUGCGCAGGCGGCAUGCCAAGUCUGGUGUGAAAGGCCCCGGCUCAACCGGGGAAACGCACUGGAAACUGGUGUGCUAGAGUACAGGAGGGGGAGUUGGAAUUCCAGGUGUAGGGGUGAAAUCUGUAGAUAUCUGGAAGAACACCGGUGGCGAAGGCGAACUUCUGGCCAUGUACUGACGCUGAGGCACGAAGGCGUGGGGAGCAAACAGGUUUAGAUACCCUGGUAGUCCACGCAGUAAACGAUGUACACUAGGUGGUGGGUGGUAGCACUCAGUACCGAAGCAAACGCAUUAAGUGUACCGCCUGGGGAGUAUGCUCGCAAGGGUGAAACUCAAAGGAAUGAC